rnacentral:rRNA from 1 species
GACGUAGGGUCCGAGCGUUGUCCGGAGUUACUGGGCGUAAAGGGCGCGUAGGCGGCUUUGUGCGUCACCCGUGAAAGCCCCCCGGCUCAACCGGGGGAGGGUCGGGUGAAACGGCGGAGCUGGAGGCAGCGAGAGGCUGGUGGAAUUCCCGGAGUAGUGGUGAAAUGCGUAGAGAUCGGGAGGAACACCGGUGGCGAAGGCGGCCAGCUGGCGCUGACCUGACGCUGAGGCGCGAAGGCGUGGGGAGCGAACGGGG